ensembl:lncRNA
UGCCUUGAAAACAUUUAUUUUACAACAGUGGUUUCAGAUAACUUAGCAAUCUUUAUUUUAGUUCUAUUCGGACAUACGAUACACGAAUUACCAUGCUAGAACAGAAAAUACCUCCUCCUCCUCCUCUCCUCACAGCGUGUAUGUACAGGAGCUCAGUAGUAUCGAGUGUUACAACCCACAGAGUUCAGACAGCCACAGCUACUUACAUACAAGUCAAAGUAUGGUCCUUUAGUAACAUAACAAAAUAUAUAUAUGUCUAUAUUAUAAUUGCUUUGUCAGAUGCAUUUAUAACUUCCAUUGUGGGGUGGGGGGGGGUAUUUUUACAGGCUUUUCUCUCGGUUAGAGACGGGCUCCCCCCAUCCCAGAGGUGAAGAGCAACCGCAGAGCGUGUCCUCAGCGUCCUCAAGAGGCCAACACGGCCAGAGCACGAGGAGUGAGUGAGUGCAGGGCCUUGUCACAUGCAGGAUGAGCACAAACAGCCUCGGAGGUCUGUGACAGCAUGAACCAAACAUCCACACCCAGAGAGGGGUGACGGUGGGAAGGGUGAAGGGGGAUGAUGGUGAUGGAAGGCUCCAUCCGUGAUGGACACACAGGGAACUUCAAAUGCGUCAGCAAUAAAGGAAUCGCCCCCAAACAUUCCCCUAUUUCUGCCAGGAUGCAGAAUCCCCCCCGUAUUUCAUCUGCCAGCCCUAAAAUAUGAGGUCCAGGGAUGCGGCUUGACCCACCGCAAUGAGUGACCCGGCGCCUUUACACAGAUCUCCACCUAACUUCAGCUUUACAACUCGUAGUAACUCCGGGUCCUCAUGAUCCCAACCUGCAAACACUGCAGGCUGGGUCGCUGGACCACACAGUGCAAACACACCACACUGCUCAGCACCAACUCGCUCGAGUAAGGAGGGAGUAGACAAUUGCAUCCCCUUUUUACACCACAGCUCUCCCCUGUACUACCCAUUUACAACAGGAUCCUUCCACCGCCUCCUUCACUGGUUUAACCCAACAGAUUUGGUUUGGUUUUAUCCUGCAGCUGAGAGGAGAAAGCACGAUUCUGGCCAAAGCUCCCCCUUCCCCUUGUCCCUGCGGGAUCUCACAGCACGGCUCAGAGCCAGAAUCCAGGGAUUUACCACCAAAGGAAACCAGCAGCAAGCACCAGGUGCACCCACUCUAUUACUAUAUACAUCUGGGCAUAUAUACAUACAUACACACACGAUGUUCAACCCAAAGCCCACAGCGCGGGUUCAGACCUUGCUCUGGAGCUUUGCACUUCGUUGGAGAGUGCAACCAUCUGGGAUUAAGAACUUGAGGUGGGGCUGCAAAAACCCGGCAGGAGUCUCCGGGUUAAACGCGACACCAACAUCCACCUGCAUCGGGUACAAAUAAACCUGCAGCACAAAUCCAUUUCCAAAUCACCCGGGAACAUCCGAAGGGCACAAAGUAGCUGAGAGAAGCCUCUCCCAAGGAAACCCUCUGAUAUAACCCCCCAAAACUCACUGGUGUCACUCCAACAUGACCGCUUUCUGGAUGGGACAGGACUAUCUGCUCCAUGCAGCUCCUGUAGCAUUUAGAUGACACAAAGGGGGUUGAAGACUCUAUGGCUGCAGGACUUG